rnacentral:rRNA from 1 species
UACGGAGGGUGCGAGCGUUGUCCGGAAUCAUUGGGCGUAAAGGGCGCGUAGGUGGUUGGGUAAGUCUAUGGUGAAAGCGCGGAGCUCAACUCCGCGUCGGCCGUGGAUACUGCUUGACUUGAGCACUGUAGAGGCAGGCGGAAUUCCGGGUGUAGCGGGUGGAAUGCGUAGAGAUCCGGAAGAACACCAGGGGCGAAGGCGGCCUGCUGGGCAGUUGCUGGACACUGAUGCGCGACAGCGUGGGGAGCA